AUACGGAGGAGCCGAGCGUUAUCCGGAUUUAUUGGGUUUAAAGGGUGCGUAGGUGGUUUGAUAAGUCAGCGGUGAAAGUUUGCAGCUUAACUGUAAAAAUGCCGUUGAAACUGUCGGACUUGAGUGUAAAUGAGGUGGGCGGAAUGCGUGGUGUAGCGGUGAAAUGCAUAGAUAUCACGCAGAACUCCGAUUGCGAAGGCAGCUUACUAAGCUACAACUGACACUGAAGCACGAAAGCGUGGGGAUCAAACAGGAUUAGAUACCCUGGUAGUCCACGCAGUAAACGAUGAUUACUAGCUGUUUGCGAUACACAGUAAGCGGCACAGCGAAAGCGUUAAGUAAUCCACCUGGGGAGUACGCCGGCAACGGUGAAACUUAAAUGAAUUGGCGGGG
rnacentral:rRNA from 1 species